rnacentral:rRNA from 1 species
AGAGAGAGACAUGCGCGCAUAUCAAUAAGCGGAGGAAAAGAAACUAACAAGGAUUCCCUUAGUAACGGCGAGUGAAGCGGGAAGAGCUCAAAUUUGAAAUCUUCAAGGUUUUACCUUGACGAAUUGUAGUUUAAAGAAGUGUUUUCUGCUGAAGUUUUGGUAAAAGUUCUUUGGAAUAGGACAUCAUAGAGGGUGAGAAUCCCGUAUUUGACCAUUAUUUUCAGCUUUGUGAUACACUUUCAAAGAGUCGGAUUGUUUGGGAAUGCAGUCCAAAAUGGGUGGUAAAUUUCAUCUAAAGCUAAAUAUUGGCGAGAGACCGAUAGCGAACAAGUACCGUGAGGGAAAGAUGAAAAGAACUUUGAAAAGAGAGUUAAACAGUACGUGAAAUUGUCAAAAGGGAAGCGUUUGACACCAGUGUUGUUUUCUCGAAAAUCAAUUAAAAAUGGCUCGAUUUUGUAUUGUUGAGACCUUAAAAGCUCACUGUACAUUUUUCGUGUCUUUUUUAAUGCACUUUUCGUUUAACAAGUCAACAUCAGUUUCUUUUGUUGUAAAAGGGUCAUUGGAAGGUGGCUUUCUUUCGGAGAAAGUGUUUAUAGCCUUUGGCCUCUGCAAUCGGAGAGACUGAGGUCUGCAGCGUAGACUCUUCGGGGUUAGAUACAUUUGUGCUAAGUUAUAGCUUUUUAUAGACAACUUGUUGACUAUAAUUAGUCUUGUAGCUUACUCGCUUAUGCUAUUUUACCUACGCUUAGGAUGUUGAAGUCAUCGUAUCGCGC